rnacentral:sRNA from 1 species
UGGCUUUAUCAGACGUAACACUACAGCUUCCUGUCGCUGUCUUCUCUCUGGGGAAACAUUUCCUUCAUCUAGUGUCCAGUGGUUUGAUGCUACAGGUCUGAAUGUCAGCCAGUCUGGAAAGUUUAGUGACCUAAUUAUAGAUGGAAGUCAAGAGAGUGGGCAAUACUUUUGCUAUGAGACAAGAUUUAAUGACAAAACUAAAAGAGUUGCUUUUAAACUCGACUAUUUCGAUGUACCAGAAGUUGUCAACGUUACUGUCAACGGCGUAGACUCAGUCAACGUGAGUGUGGGUGAUACUGUCACUAUCUACUGUCAAGUCAAGUCAACAGAUCCGCCAUCUAAAGCUGUGCUUCUAGCUAGUGGUCUGGGAUCAGUCAAAGAGAUCAUUUCCACCAACGAGACACUAGAGUUAUCUC